UACGGGGGGGGCAAGCGUUGUUCGGAAUUACUGGGCGUAAAGGGCGUGUAGGCGGCCAACUAAGUCCGACGUGAAAUCCCCAGCUUAACCUGGGAACUGCGUCGGAUACUGGAUGGCUUGAAUCCGGGAGAGGGAUGCGGAAUUCCAGGUGUAGCGGUGAAAUGCGUAGAUAUCUGGAGGAACACCGGUGGCGAAGGCGGCAUCCUGGACCGGCAUUGACGCUAAAGCGCGAAAGCCAGGGGAGCAAACGGGG
rnacentral:rRNA from 1 species